rnacentral:lncRNA from 1 species
AUGUUACAAAGGAGGCAAAUGAAAGAAAUAAGAGAGUGGGUGGAGAAGACCUCAGAUGAUUCUACAAGGAGGGACCAUCAUCACACAGACCUAGAGCACCUUGAAACAUCUUUGGUGUGUUUGCUCUGUGCUGAGGCCUUUGCAAUCAGAGCGGCGUCUCUCUGGUUCCUGAAUGGCUCACUCCGGAGUACUGCAUGUCCCUGCAUGUCGAGAGAAGGAAAGAGAAAUGGUGCAGAACCCAAUACGGAAGCGGAGCUCUCUGCAAAUUCACUCUUCUCACCCACCUCGUCCAGUUUCUCUGAGCCUCCAGGUGGUGUCUCCUAUGUGCCCAGGUCCAGUUCUAGGAGAGAACAGUGCACUGGGGCCUCUUGCCUCGCUGCUCGGAGCUCCUUCGACGGUGGAAUCCUGCCAGCCAUUGAUUCAACUGUGGGAGUUAUCGCAGCAGUGCAACUGCACUCAGGCCUCAGCUCCAGCUUGUAUAAUAUUUCUGAUAAUAAGAGAGCCUAAAUGAAGCAUCCUUUAAAAGGCCUUCGCUGUUAAUUUGGCACAGGGAAAAAAGCCAGC